rnacentral:rRNA from 1 species
GAUGAACGCUGGCGGCGUGCUUAACACAUGCAAGUCGAACGGUGAAGCAGGAGCUUGCUCCUGUGGAUCAGUGGCGAACGGGUGAGUAACACGUGAGCAAUCUGCCCUGGACUCUGGGAUAAGCGUUGGAAACGACGUCUAAUACCGGAUACGAGGCGUGGGGGCAUCCCCAACGCCUGGAAAGAACUUCGGUCCAGGAUGAGCUCGCGGCCCAUCAGGUAGUUGGUGAGGUAACGGCUCACCAAGCCGACGACGGGUAGCCGGCCUGAGAGGGUGACCGGCCACACUGGGACUGAGACACGGCCCAGACUCCUACGGGAGGCAGCAGUGGGGAAUAUUGCACAAUGGGCGCAAGCCUGAUGCAGCAACGCCGCGUGAGGGACGGCGGCCUUCGGGUUGUAAACCUCUUUUAGCAGGGAAGAAGCGAAAGUGACGGUACCUGCAGAAAAAGCACCGGCUAACUACGUGCCAGCAGCCGCCGUAAGAC